UUUCCGUAGGUGAACCUGCGGAAGGAUCAUUAGUGAAUCAUGGAUGCCUCUGCAAAGAGAAGGUCCAUUAUACACUUUCACACACCCUGUGCACUUGUUUAUUUACAAAUUCACUUUUGUAACACACAUGUGACAAUGGAAAACAGUCCAGAAUGUACAUUUGAUAAACAAAAGUAUAACUUUCAGCAAUGGAUCUCUUGGCUCUCGCAUCGAUGAGACGCAGC
rnacentral:misc_RNA from 1 species